rnacentral:misc_RNA from 1 species
GAUGAAGAACGUAGCGAAAUGCGAUAAGUAGUGUGAAUUGCAGAAUUCCGUGAAUCAUCGAAUCUUUGAACGCACAUUGCGCCUUCUGGUAUUCCGGAAGGCAUACCUGUUCGAGAGUCAUUAACAACCGUUUCGAUCCCUUUCUUUCAGAAAUUACAAAGAGGAAAAGGGUUUGGUUAUGGUGGAGGAGGGAAAGGGAGCGUUUAGCCUGUAAAAAAAGAGGCUGUGUUCCGCCUCCCCCCCAAAAUUGUACAGGCGGUCGUGUGCGCCCACGCAUCGAGGUGUUGUAAAAGCUGCCACGGCACUUUUCACCUGUGCAGUGCGAGAUUGGCCAGCCGGUUUAAAAACCCCUCCAAACAAUCAAAGGUUGACCUCGGAUCAGGUAGGGAUACCCGCUGAACUUAAGCAUAUCAAUAAGCGGAGGA